rnacentral:tRNA from 1 species
CAGAGGAUAGUUUAAUAUAAAAAUUUUAAUUUUGGAGAUUAAGGAUAAAUUUAGAAAAAUUUUUCUCUGA